ACAGUCGGCUUUCUAUCCCAUAUUGCCAAGAGCUCUGAGAAUGAUGAACCAAGUAAAUGCUUUAUUUAGGGCUAAGUGAGCUGCGGAUCCCUCCAGCCUGACAGCGUUUCAGCCUGCAGAGUAAGACAGCAGCAGCAACAGAAGCAGCAGAGGCAGCAGCAACAGCAGCAGCCCCUUGCUCAAGUCCAGCAGGGGAGACUUGAUCUCUGGUUAGUCUUGGAACUCAGCCUGUGGAUCGUGCACUGUCCAGGGUCCUGAAAUAUGAACCAAACAGCCAGCGUGUCCCAUCACAUCAAGUGUCAGCCCUCCAAGACCAUCAAGAGUUAAGAACAAAGAUGAAAUGACUGUAGUCCAUAUUGACACUUGGGAUACUUUCAAUGAAAAUUAGGGCCGCUGAAGAGAUUUUGGACAGAAAAAGACUGUACUUUCUAACAUGAAUAUGGCAAAGUCACCUCCAAUAUAGAUCUCCCUUCUCUCACCUCAGUCCAGCUGUGUUGACAGAGAUACACCUGUCAAAGCCUUUGAAAGGGUCAACACCCAGAAGAGUGGUGUCUCAAAGUUCUGGAGUUUGUGGAAAUACAUAAAACUUAUGAGAAUAUUUUAUGUACCUAUUUUAUGUUCUUAAACAAACUGGUAUGUUUUAUACUCUAAAAGUCCCAGACAUUUAUAAAAUGCACAUUAAACAUAUCGAUCCACCCCAAGCUUCCUAUCAAACCACUCAAGUAGUCCUAUUCAUCCACCUUCGAGCUUCAUGUCCUUUUAUUUGUUUAUUUUUGGCAUUAAUACUCCUGAGGUCAAUGAGUGCUGCACAUAUACAUGCAGCUGUGUGGCCAAGCACUGGUGCAUGGGAAACCUACUAACAGACAAAGGAGAGUGACGUUUCCUUCCUUAGCACCUCUCUCUAUAGGAGUGCUGCAUCAGAGGUGCCUGCACAUCUGAGUUGAAAUGUUAUUGGCUUUAUUUUGUGCAGGCAGCCACGCCUGCUGUGAGUUGACACUUGGAACAGGCAGGCCAUGGCCAGAAGUCUUUAUUUCACAGAUCUCCUUUCUAUAUGCCAGCUCUUACACUUUUUAUAGUCCCUUAGGUGUGAGCUUUCCUGAGCCCAGGAUGGUAGGAGGUUAAUGUAGAUGGUCCAUGCAUAGCUAAGCUCUCUGAGUUAUAUAUGAUUGUCACUUUGAGCAGGAUGAGUUUCUUAAUUAAUGAUUUACCCACUGCAAAACUAAAACAAAUAAAAAUUAAUUUUAGACUAAAGCUACAAGCAACAAAAGUCUCCUUGAGGCUCCAGAUUCCAAUGCCCGGGUUUUAGAAUUUGUGUGCUGUGUGCCCUGCUACGUUCUGACUGUCUUCCUGGGUGGACAACUUUUACUUGGAUGAGUACAUUUUAAUAAAUGAUUGUAAAAAGAAAACCCCCUUUAAACCUAAAAUUAUAAAUUUUCAAGAAUC
ensembl:lincRNA